GGACCGGGAUAACCCUGGGAAACUGGGGCUAAUACUGGAUAGGCAAUUUUUCCUGCAAUGGUUUUUUGUUUAAAUGUUUUUUCGCCUAAGGAUGAGUCUGCGGCCGAUUAGGUAGUUGGUUAGGUAAUGGCUUACCAAGCCGUUGAUCGGUACGGGUUGUGAGAGCAAGAGCCCGGAGAUGGAACCUGAGACAAGGUUCCAGGCCCUACGGGGUGCAGCAGGCGCGAAACCUCCGCAAUGUGAGAAAUCGCGACGGGGGGAUCCCAAGUGCCAUUCUUAACGGGAUGGCUUUUCAUUAGUGUAAAGAGCUUUUGGAAUAAGAGCUGGGCAAGACCGGUGCCAGCCGCCGCGGUAACACCGGCAGCUCUAGUGGUAACAAUUUUUAUUGGGCCUAAAGCGUCCGUAGCCGGUUUAAUAAGUCUCUGGUGAAAUCCUGUAGCUUAACUGUGGGAAUUGCUGGAGAUACUAUUAGACUUGAGACCGGGAGAGGUUAGAGGUACUCCCAGGGUAGAGGUGAAAUUCUGUAAUCCUGGGAGGACCGCCUGUUGCGAAGGCGUCUAACUGGAACGGUUCUGACGGUGAGGGACGAAAGUUAGGGGCGCGAACCGGAUUAGAUACCCGGGUAGUCCUAACUGUAAACGAUGCGGACUUGGUGUUGGGGUGGCUUUGAGCU
rnacentral:rRNA from 1 species